ACCAAGUUUUAGCCCAUUCCGACGACAUCGGCGGUGCUGGCAAAUCGGAGGAGCGUUGAGUUGUAAUCGGAGGAAGUUGGCCAUCUGUGGCUAUGCGUAAAUGUAUCCUAGUGAGAGGUUUAGGGAAUAAUUUUUUGUGCCAAAAAUCAUCCUGAGAAAUAGCUCCAUGGGAAAAUCUCCCCGCGUCUCGUCUCUGUUUCCUCUAAAUCCAGUCUCCCUCUACUUUCUCUCUCCAUUUCGCUUCUUACCCAUCAGAAGGAAGAAAACCAGGGGUAUUUGCGGGAACGUGCAAUUGAGCAAGAAACUGAGGCCCAAUGGAAUUUCGCGACAUGCUUGCUAUUAAUGCUAUGUUUUCCAUGCUUCCCACCUUCGAUGACCAGGUGUUUGAUCUGUACCCAAAUCGCAGAAAGGGAUUUGAUCCACUCGGUUUUAUAACCGCUGUUCUUACGAUGGUUGGGGUGUUCGUGCCAUUGGUCUUUAGGGAAAUGCACAAAUCGCAAGGUCCAGCUUUGUUGAUUUGUGGGACCAGGUUAUGGGGGCGUGUAUCAUAUCAAAAAAGCUUUCUAGCUGCACUGGAGCUUCCUGUGACCUUUCUAGCUACUGUGAUUGCAACUCUCCUAAUGGGCACCACAGUUGGACGACCAAUAGCAAUUGAAUUACGAUAUGCUGCACCAAUUUUUUCGGGGGCUCUGAUGGCUUCAUUAGUAUGGUUUUUGGAUCAGUGGAAGAGAAAUAUCCUUGCAAGAGCUCUGGGAAUUAGGAGCAUUCCAGUGGUUGAAAGGGAAAAUUUGUUAAUAUUCAACAGAAUUUCAACCAUGUAUCUAUUUCUCAACGGAGUGAUGUUGGUGGCUAUUAUAUUUAUCGGGGUUGUGCCAUUGUGGAUUUCUAUCAUAGCAAUUGUGAUUCCUGGUGUCAUAGGAGGUCUUGUUCUGUUCUACCAUUUGAAUUGCCCAGGAAUUUGUAUGUCCUCUGCUGGAAACGGACUUGAUUUUGCUCCUGCUAUUGCUGGCAAAGACAUUGUUCGAAAUGUUUUCAGUGGGGUGAAGUUGAUCAUGUUUGAGCUUUCAGUUGGAAAGAUAAUAAGAGUUCAUGAUGUAAAUGCCCAAGUUGUGGGAGUGGGACUUACAACCACUUGCUUGCUAAUGAAUGAGAGAAUCCCUCUCACAGUUCCAAAUUCACUGCUCCUUAAGUUGUGGAUUCAUGAUCAGGCGGUUGGAGUAUUUGGAGCGUUCGACCGCUGGGAUGCCAUGGUUGCAAAAGUUCCUCUGCAAACCUUUGAUAUUGAUAAGAUUCCUGAGACAUCAAAUGACAUAAAGCAGAUUCUCAUAUCAAGUCCAAAAGUAUGUUUGGAAGAGCCCCCGUUUUGCUUUUUGUCUCAGACACAGGGAGCGGUUGACUUGAUUCUAGGUUGCAGUUUGAGAUACAUGAUGAUGUGCAUUUUGUCAACUCGGGAAAGAGCUCUUGAUUACACCUUAGGGAUAUGACUGAUCAACAGGUCUUUUCUCCAAAACAUCUCCUUGUGGGCUACUGAUUCUUAGCAAAUGUCAGUACAUUGGUGCUAAAUGAAUAUGGUCAAGAGUGAAAACGAACUGAUAUUGACAAAGAAAGAGUUUCUCACCCAGUCAAUUCAGAUAAUCAAGCAACAUGGGGCUACGUUGGCUUGCAGCCUUGGAGAUCUGUUGGAUUCAUGUUGAUGAAGCGAGAGUUCAGUCAAGUUGUACCUUCUGUUUACGCUGCGCGCUAUUUCAAAUUCCUAACCUUCAUGCAACAAUUGUUCGGUUGUGUAACGUUGCUCAUAUUCUUAUUUAAGAAGUCUCGACUCCUAAUACAUAACGACUCAUUUA